AAAUCAUUUCCUAUAUGAUUCAUUCAAUCCAUUUACAGGGUGGAAAGUAUGGAAAAAUUUAUUAAGUUUGUUUAUGUUCUAUUCAUAUAUUUUUCUCUUCUUAUUUUUACACCCAUCGUCAAUGGGGGAGCAAUUAAGUGUGAAACUGUUGCUGAUUGUCCAAAUAAUUUGUGUGCGCGUGGUUUAACACAGAAGUGUUAUUUUAAACGUUGUAUAUGUGUUUGAAUAACUACUCGUAUGAUAUGAGUGAUAAACCAAUAAAGUAUAAAAAAUUAAUAUUGUGUUAGAAUAUUCAA